rnacentral:miRNA from 1 species
AAAUGCACUGACACUUUGGGGC